UGGGGAAUUUUGGACAAUGGGCGAAAGCCUGAUCCAGCAAUGCCGCGUGUGUGAAGAAGGCCUUCGGGUUGUAAAGCACUUUUGUCCGGAAAGAAAUCCUUGGCUCUAAUACAGUCGGGGGAUGACGGUACCGGAAGAAUAAGCACCGGCUAACUACGUGCCAGCAGCCGCGGUAAUACGUAGGGUGCAAGCGUUAAUCGGAAUUACUGGGCGUAAAGCGUGCGCGGGCGGUUUGCUAAGACCGAUGUGAAAUCCCCGGGCUCAACCUGGGAACUGCAUUGGUGACUGGCAGGCUAGAGUAUGGCAGAGGGGGGCAGAAUUCCACGUGUAGCAGUGAAAUGCGUAGAGAUGUGGAGGAAUACCGAUGGCGAAGGCAGCCCCCUGGGCCAAUACUGACGCUCAUGCACGAAAGCGUGGGGAGCAAACAGGAUUAGAUACCCUGGUAGUCCACGCCCUAAACGAUGUCAACUAGUUGUUGGGGAUUCAUUUCCUUAGUAACGUAGCUAACGCGUGAAGUUGACCGCCUGGGGAGUACGGUCGCAAGAUUAAAACUC
rnacentral:rRNA from 1 species